GACGAACCGUGCGAACGUUGUUCGGAAUCACUGGGCUUAAAGGGCGCGUAGGCGGGCUGUCAAGUCUGGGGUGAAAUCCCGCGGCUCAACCGUGGAACUGCCUUAGAUACUGACGGCCUCGAGGAAGGUAGGGGCAUGCGGAACUGUAGGUGGAGCGGUGAAAUGCGUUGAUAUCUACAGGAACUCCGGUGGUGAAAGCGGCGUGCUGGACCUUUUCUGACGCUGAGGCGCGAAAGCCAGGGGAGCGAACGGG
rnacentral:rRNA from 1 species